CCGGAGUCGAUGUCGUUAGCAACUACUCGAUCGGCACCACACAAUUUCGCAGCGAUGGCCGAAGCUCCACAGCCGCUUCCCACAUCCAAGACGGACUUCCCCAAACAUAUUCUCGGAUGGUCCAGGAGAUACCUGCAGGAAGCUUAGCCGUACCAGCGGCUUGAAAAGUGACAUGACUCAGCGAGAAAUGCCAUUGGUUUGCGCAACCCUCAAGCUGCCUGCCAAUGAGAAGUGCUACUGCUGCCCACAUGAUCCACAUGACUUCCAGUUAACUAUUGUGGAUCACUGGAGGGAAUCUUUUCAUCUCAUGCGUUUGCGUCAACUAGGACAAGAUCAGGAAAACAACUUGAGUCCAAAAGCAUGUGCAGCAUUUUCCUCUUUUGAUUCAUGACCCGUGUUUGUGUUGAUGAUUUGUUUUAAUUCUUUCACAGCUUUUGUUUUUUUGUUGUUGUGAGUUUUCUCUUCUUUGCUUUAGUACACUUUUCCAAGUCCAGUAAUGUUGAAAUAAACACCUUGGCCUUA